rnacentral:rRNA from 1 species
CAGCAGCCGCGGGAAUACGAAGGGGGCUAGCGUUGUUCGGAUUUACUGGGCGUAAAGCGCACGUAGGCGGCACGAUUAGUCAGGCGUGAAAUUCCUGGGCUUAACCUGGGGGCUGCGUUUGAUACGUAUGGGCUAGAGUGGGGAAGAGGGUUGUGGAAUUCCCAGAGUAGAGGUGAAAUUCGUAGAUAUUAGGAAGAACACCGGUGGCGAAGGCGGCAACCUGGUCCUUGACUGACGCUGAGGCGCGAAAGCGUGGGGAGCAAACAGGAUUAGAUACCCCCGUAGUCCCUGUCUCUUAUAC